AACGAACGCUGGCGGCAGGCUUAACACAUGCAAGUCGAACGCAUCCUUCGGGGUGAGUGGCAGACGGGUGAGUAACGCGUGGGAAUGUGCCCUUCUCUACGGAAUAGCCCUGGGAAACUGGGAGUAAUACCGUAUACGCCCUAUUGGGGAAAGAUUUAUCGGAGAAGGAUCAGCCCGCGUUGGAUUAGGUAGUUGGUGGGGUAAUGGCCUACCAAGCCGACGAUCCAUAGCUGGUUUGAGAGGAUGAUCAGCCACACUGGGACUGAGACACGGCCCAGACUCCUACGGGAGGCAGCAGUGGGGAAUCUUAGACAAUGGGGGCAACCCUGAUCUAGCCAUGCCGCGUGAGUGAUGAAGGCCUUAGGGUUGUAAAGCUCUUUCAGCUGGGAAGAUAAUGACGGUACCAGCAGAAGAAGCCCCGGCUAACUCCGUGCCAGCCGCCGCGGUAA
rnacentral:rRNA from 1 species